rnacentral:rRNA from 1 species
AGCCUGAUGCAGCCAUGCCGCGUGUGUGAAGAAGGCCUUCGGGUUGUAAAGCACUUUCAGUCAGGAGGAAAGGUUAGUAGUUAAUACCUGCUAGCUGUGACGUUACUGACAGAAGAAGCACCGGCUAACUCCGUGCCAGCAGCCGCGGUAAUACGGAGGGUGCGAGCGUUAAUCGGAAUUACUGGGCGUAAAGCGUACGCAGGCGGUUUGUUAAGCGAGAUGUGAAAGCCCCGGGCUUAACCUGGGAACUGCAUUUCGAACUGGCAAACUAGAGUGUGAUAGAGGGUGGUAGAAUUUCAGGUGUAGCGGUGAAAUGCGUAGAGAUCUGAAGGAAUACCGAUGGCGAAGGCAGCCACCUGGGUCAACACUGACGCUCAUGUACGAAAGCGUGGGGAGCAAACAGGAUUAGAUACCCUGGUAGUCCACGCCGUAAACGAUGUCUACUAGGAGCUGGGGUCUUCGGACAACUUUUCCAAAGCUAACGCAUUAAGUAGACCGCCUGG